rnacentral:rRNA from 1 species
AUGGCAGAGAUCGACAUGAUGAAGGAGCGCUUCGCCAAGCUGCUGCUGGGCGAGGACAUGUCCGGCAGCGGCAAGGGCGUCUGCACCGCGCUCGCCGUCUCCAACGCCAUCACCAACCUCUCCGCCACCGUGUUCGGCGAGCUGUGGCGGCUGGAGCCGCUGGCGCCGGCCAGGAAGGCCAUGUGGACGCGGGAGAUGGACUGGCUGCUCUCCGUCGCCGACUCCAUCGUCGAGCUCAUCCCCUCGCUCCAGGAGCUCCCCGACGGCGGCGGCCAGUUCGAGGUCAUGGUGCCGCGCCCCCGCAGCGACCUCUACAUGAACCUCCCCGCGCUCAGGAAGCUCGACGCCAUGCUCCUCGCCAUGAUCGACGAGUUCAAGGAGACCGACUUCUGGUACGUCGACAGGGGCAUCGUCGUCGACGACGGCGGCGGGGGGCCCUGCCCGUCCUCCUCGUCUUCCUCCUGCGGGCGGCCGUCGUCGGUGCGGCAGGAGGACAAGUGGUGGCUGCCGUGCCCGCGGGUGCCGCCCAAGGGGCUGCCCGAGGAGGCCCGGAGGAAGCUGCAGCAGAGCAGGGACUGCGCCAACCAGAUUCUGAAGGCCGCCAUGGCCAUCAACAGCGACGUGCUUGCUGAGAUGGAGAUCCCGGAGGCGUACCUGGAGUCCUUGCCAAAGAGUGGUCGAUCUUGCUUGGGUGAGAUAAUUUACCGGUACAUAACGGCUGAACAAUUCUCACCUGAAUGCCUCCUGGACUGCUUGGACCUGUCAUCGGAGCACCAUACACUUGAAGUAGCAAACAGAAUAGAGGCCGCCAUCCAUGUCUGGAGACUAAAGGGCCAAAAGAAAACGGCGCCUCAGGCAAAGUCGAAGAAAUCUUGGGGUGGAAAAGUGAAGGGUCUUGUUGGAGAUACAAAGAGCCAAGUGCUGUCCCAAAGAGCCGACGGUCUGCUACAGAGCUUAAGAUUGCGACACCCUGGUUUGCCACAGACUUCCCUUGACAUGAACAAGAUCCAGUACAACAAGGAUGUCGGCCAGUCCAUACUUGAAAGUUACUCGAGGGUCCUGGAGAGCUUGGCGUUCAACACAAUUGCGAGGAUCGACGACGUGAUUUACGUGGACGACGCAACGAAGAAGUCUGCCGCGGCGGAGACCGUUUCGAUCUUCAACCGCGGCACGGGGGCACCAGUCCAGAAGAAGAUCUCCCCGAGCCCAUUCUCGAUCCAGCACACGCCGUACGCCUCCCCCUUCGCCACACCCACCUUCUGCUCCUCCACCCCAGUCAAUGGCAACAGCCCCGGACGAGCACCACUGCCACCGCCGAGCAAAAAGAACCCGCCAGCGAAACAACCCGAGAUCAAAGUGGAGAAGCUCUUCUCCGGCGAUGUAGAGAAGGUGUGGACCUAUGCCGGAAACCUGAGCGCGCGGAAAGAAGCCGGAGACGCUCCUGAAAGGGACUGA